rnacentral:rRNA from 1 species
AGAGUUUUAUCCUGGCUCAGAGUGAACGCUGGCGGUAGGCCUAACACAUGCAAGUCGAACGGCAGCACAGGUGAGCUUGCUCUCCGGGUGGCGAGUGGCGGACGGGUGAGGAAUGCAUCGGAAUCUACUCUUUCGUGGGGGAUAACGUAGGGAAACUUACGCUAAUUCCGCAUACGACCUACGGGUGAAAGCAGGGGACCUUCGGGCCUUGCGCGAUUGAAUGAGCCGAUGUCCGAUUAGCUAGUUGGCGGGGUAAAGGCCCACCAAGGCGACGAUCGGUAGCUGGUCUGAGAGGAUGAUCAGCCACACUGGAACUGAGACACGGUCCAGACUCCUACGGGAGGCAGCAGUGGGGAAUAUUGGACAAUGGGCGCAAGCCUGAUCCAGCCAUACCGCGUGGGUGAAGAAGGCCUUCGGGUUGUAAAGCCCUUUUGUUGGGAAAGAAAAGCAGUCGGCUAAUACCCGGUUGUUCUGACGGUACCCAAAGAAUAAGCACCGGCUAACUUCGUGCCAGCAGCCGCGGUAAUACGAAGGGUGCAAGCGUUACUCGGAAUUACUGGGCGUAAAGCGUGCGUAGGUGGUUGGUUAAGUCUGUCGUGAAAGCCCUGGGCUCAACCUGGGAACUGCGAUGGAAACUGGCCGACUAGAAUGUGGUAGAGGGUAGCGGAAUUCCUGGUGUAGCAGUGAAAUGCGUAGAUUUCAGGAGGAACAUCCAUGGCGAAGGCAGCUACCUGGGCCAACAUUGACACUGAGGCACGAAAGCGUGUGGAGCAAACAGGAUUAGAUACCCUGGUAGUCCACGCCCUAAACGA